AGAGCUCUGGCCUCUCUACAUGGAUUGGGAACCAGAUGUUGUCCCUGAGCAGCCUCCCGCCAUGGGCUGUCACCCUGCUGGCAUGCAUCCUCGUGUCCAUUGUCACUGAGUUUGUGAGCAACCCAGCAACCAUCACCAUCUUCCUGCCCAUCCUGUGCAGCCUGGUGAAAGCUGGCCUGGGAGUCAACGUUAUUGGACUGGUGAUAGUAAUGGUGGCCAUCAACACCUGGGGAGUUAGCCUUUUCCACCUGGACACUUACCCAGCAUGGGCGAGGGUCAGCAACAUCACUGAUCAAGCCUAACGCCAAGUGUACAAACUAGCCCAACCACAGGAGCUGCCAGUACCCGGCAGAAUCUGGACCACAGGCAAAGAAAACCACUAGGACCACCGGGAGCACACAACCCCAGACCCACGCCGGAGGGCAUCCCUCCACCAGAAGAUUCCGCCACCUCAAGUGAACUGCAGGAAUCCUCCAACAACCACAAACACAUGCUUCGCUGUUAGUGUCUUCUUCCCGCCCUCAGCAGCACAGCUCAAGAAAACCUAAAGUUUCAAUACAAGCCAUAGGCUCACAGAAAAAGAAAAAGAAAAUAAAAAUUAAAUUAAAAAAAGAGAAGACAAAGAAAA
rnacentral:sRNA from 1 species